UAGUUGCUAAAUCAUGGAUUGUGAGAU
rnacentral:piRNA from 1 species